rnacentral:lncRNA from 1 species
CAAAGGUCAUACUACCUAAGUUUUCCAUCGGAGCUCCACAAACAUGGUAUUGUUUGAAGGAAAUAGCCACUUUGUAGCGAGGAAUAAAACAUUACUUUAAAAGGUAUGUUGUUUUUUUGUGUUUUGUUGGGGGUUUUUUUUGGGGGGGGAGGGUCCAUAAACAGGUUAGCAUUUUUGAAUUUCGUUAAAAAAAACCAGUAAAUUUAAAAUAACAUCAGAAAUUUAAAUUAUCUUAAAUGAGAAAACAGAAUACAGUGAAUUGAAAAAUUAAAAACUGGCCCCACAUGCAUGAACUAGUUGUUUUUCAUGAAGCAAAAUAAACAUUAAAAAGGACAACAUACUCGAAACAUUUUUUAGUUGGUCGAAGUCUCGUGUGGUUUUAAUAAAGACACUAGGACUCUGGCCUUUUAUCACGUGACCAAUGUCUUGCCCUAGAAGCCAUUUUUAAAAAUCGUUUGCCGUCCAACUAGAGAUGGCCCGAGUUGGUAUUAAAUAGUAUUUUUUUUAUAAUUAUUAAUUUGAACUUAAUAAGCAGUAAAAACAAAUAAUUUAAGCUGCCAUUUAUAAUAGAGAAAGAAAAGAAAAAACAGACAUAAAAGCAUUAAAAAUUAAAAAAAGUUUUUCGUGUUUAAAAAAAAUAUAUAUAUAUACUAGAACACACCCGUGAUAUCACGGGUCCGUGACUGAAUUAAAGUAUAUAACUAUGCGCAAGCCUUAUUUUAGUAUUAGUAUUGUCAUCUGAUAAAGUCAUGCCGAUUAUAAGAUGCACAGUUUUUCUCUGCUUUCAAGUCUUUCUGUUUGAACCCGUCGAACUGAAACAAUAAUAUUAAUUAUUUGGAAAACAAAAGGUCCUGGAAUGGAGUAUUUUUUAAUCAACAGCAUUGUCCUAUAUAAGUUAUAAAUAAAGUUGAAUUCUUUGCUUCGCUGUUUUACGUCAUGCCCACUAACAAAUUGAAAACUGUACCUAUACGCCUUAUUUUUAGUCCAGAUUUUUAGUAUUCGUAUUGUUAUCUUAGAAAGUCUUACUGAUUAAAAUACUACAAUAGUUAACAAUUUGACAAUUUAGUAGUGUCAACCCUGUGGUUAUGACCCGUGUAUAUAGCAUAUUAAUCCUGAAUACAACGUUUGGUGGUGCGGCUGUUAGAUGCGGAACGUACAGAUAAGGUAAUAGGUAACAGGUGAAUAUACUAUUGGUAUCGGUAGCGGACUCGACCCGGAACUUCUUAAUUAUUGGCAAUAAUAAUUACGUGGAAAACAAAAGGGCCUGGAGUGGUGUAAUUUUUAAUCUACACCUUUGUACUAUAUUAGUUAUAUAUAAAGUUGAAUUCUGUGAUUCGUCGUUUUUACGUGAUGACGGCUGACAAAUUGGACCUCGCAGAGGCGGAUUUAGGGGGGGGCAGGGGGCCCGGGCCCCCCCUUUUUGGGAAAAAAUUUGGUUGCUUAUAUAGGGAAUCACUGAAGCGUAACUGGAGCGGGCCCCCUCUUAGGUCAGUCAGUGGGCCACCACUGAUGAAAAUUUCUGGAUCCGCCACUGCCUCGUAAUUUUAGUAUUAUAGAUAAGACAUAUAAAUUAAAUAAAUUCUACAUUUGCGUAAAGUUCAAUCUAUUUUAACUUAUGGAUCAGAAGUAUGGUUAUCAGAAUUCAAACCAAAUUUUUAAGCAUUAGGCAAAAUUAAAUUAGAAAAAACACAAAACUCCAUAUUUAAAAACAUACUUGGGGUUCAUGAAAAGUCUUCCAAUCUAGCAGUGCGGUGUGAAUUCGGCACAUUACCCAUUAGCAUUAAAUGUUAUCAACUUAUGUAUAAAUACUAUGUGCGUCUCAGUGAUAUUGGUGAACCGUCUGGUGGUCCACAUGAAAUUCUCAAGGCUGCUUUUGAAGUGGACAAAACUCUCACAAAUAGAGAAAAUUCAUGGUCUAAUAAACUAUCUGAAUUAAUGAAAUAUAUUGGAAUACCCUUAAACAAGCAUUGUAAUAGUAAUUUCAAACAGAAACUAGUUUUCUACAAAAUAAAAUUAUAAGAUAAAAGAUGGAAACUGUGGUAAACUUUUAUUUUUUAGCAAAAUUUAUACUUAAUUUAAACAACAAGAAUAUUUAAACAUUUUAAAUAUUCCUAAAUACCUUAGAAAAAACUCACUAAAUUAAGAAUAAGUGCACACUCAUUAACAAUAGCAACUGGUAGGUAUGCAAGACCAAAAAUACCCUCUAAUGAGAGAUUUUGUAAAUUUUGCAUAGGAAAAAUUGAAAAUGAGAUACAUUUCUUGAUUGAAUGUCCACAAUAUAAUAAAAUUAGAUCUAAAUAUAAAAUUAAUGAUAUGAAUUCAAAUAAUUUUGAUGAAAAUUUUACCAAAAUGUUAAAUCCUAGGUCUGAAAAAGAAUUAAAAUUUAUUUGUAUGAAUAUUGAAGAAGCUCUUGAUUUGAGAGACUACCAUACCGUUUCAUCAGAUAAAAAUCUUUUACAGUAGUUCGUGCAUAUAAACAUAUAUCUUAUAUGUUUUAAGUAAAUUUAUGAAAAUUUAGAAUAAUUCUGAUGUAUAAGUUUAUGGUAUCAAUAUCAGUUUAUAAUGUAUUGGUUGGUAUACAUAGAAUUGUCUUAUGACUUGUUGUUACAUGCAUCUUUAUUUCAUUUAUAUGUUGUUUUAAUUUUAUAAUUGUCUGUUUUUGGAUCACGCCUCUAUCGAGCUUCUAUCCUCUAUUGUGCUCUUUCCAAUAAAAUAUAUUGAAUUGAAUUGAAUAAUUGUUCACAUGAUAUGACUUAUUCUAGUAAUAAUCAAUAUUUAACCAAAAAAUCAACAAUUGAAGAUAUUUAAUUGCAGAUGUUUACUUCAGAUUUAAUAUAUUUUGCUUCUAUUUUCCUGUAUAUAUAUACACUUCUGUUCGCUAUGACGUUACGCACGGUAUAUUGCGUCGCAAGACGUAACAUGUAUAAUUGACAAAUGUGACGCCAUAUACUAACUUUGACAUUUUGUUAUAAAGAGCGGAGAACCUACUCGAUCGACUUUUAUCAAAUAAAUACAAUAAGCUGAAGAAAUGUUUCAAAAUUUAUCAUGUAUAAGGCAAUUAAGUAAGGAUCGCUUUUAUUUUCUGAUCUGUAAUGAGAUGAAAACAAAUGCAAAUUUUUCCAAUUUUUUUUGGAUAGGAUACAUAGCAACCUUUAAAAAAAAAUCUUGCUCCCGGAGGGACACCUGAAAACAAAAAUAUGUCUUUACAUUUUUUUUGACAAAUUGAACAUAAACACUUAUGGUAUUUAUUUCAUAAAAAUCGGUCAUAUAAUAAUUCAGCAAUAAUUCUUUUUAUAAGGAUUUUAGUUGAAAUGGUUAUUUUUUUAGAUUGAACUCACUUUUGUCCAAUAUUUGUAUGUGUCUGUGCGAGUUUUCAGACUAUUUAUCUUUUUAGCACUGAUGGCUGAUGGUUUUAUUUUAGUAACAAAUACGUAUUUAUUUAAUUCUUUAAAAAUUAUAAGACCAUUGUACCUCGGAUUCUAAUCAUUUUCUAAUCUAUAAAGGUGUUUUAGAUUUGCGUGAAAACUUUUGUCCAUAAGAAAUUAUCCCUCGACCCAUCCCCCUUUUCCCUAUGUCUAUAAAGGGUUUAUUCCUUAUGUUUGUGUGUUUUUCUAAUCUGAGUGUUAUUUUGAUUUAGCAGACAGACAUUUUGGAAUUGAACAUUUCCCGGCAUCAUUUUAACUGCCUAAACAGUUCGUAAAUAGUGUGUAUUUGUAUAAAAAGACGCCACUGUGCAGAAACGUCAAAAUGACGCCCUUGGACAUAAUGGCUAGACAUAGGGAAUGCUUUCCGAAAAAAAUCGUAAGGUCAUCAUGUUUGUGAAAACACCCGACUCAUUUAGCCAUUUGUAUGAACUUAUAGUUUGUAUCUUUUAAAUAUGUUAGUUUUGUAUUAUAAAUGCACAUUUAGUAUUUAUACAACAUGUUUCACCUAAGGAAUGGACAAAAAUUACGUUUGGACAUAGUGGCUAGACAUUCGAUUUUUUAAAAUUCUGCUUCAAGAAAAAGUUUUUUUUUACAUUUGAAACUUUGGAAAUGUUUAUCUUUUUCAGAACUUUCUAUUGAGUAUAGUUUUAAUAUGAUUUUAUUACUUUAUAGGGAUAAUAAUAAAACUGAAAUGUUGAUAAACUUUCCUCAUAACACAUUAAGACAGGUUCCUCUGCUGAAUAUUUCGUUGAAGGCUUGCUUCAAAUUUCAGCCAAUACCAAAAAACGGGUAUGAUGUUAUAAUAUAAAUCUAGUAGGAAGCUGAUAAUACUAAAUUUCGCAGAUUUUAUGUGCAAAAUUACAACGGAACAUAGAAAAAUGCAUUUUAUUUAAUUUGAAAUGUUACGCCGGACAUGCAAUUUUUAACGUAAAAGUAAGAUUUGUGUGUUCAAUAAAAUAAAUGUAUGGUGCAAAAAUUUAUAGAAUUAAUUUAAAAUAAGAAAAACAUGUCCGGGCCUUUCUGUAGAUAUAUGGAUGUUGGUGAUUUUAUUUUGUAUAGGCAAAUGGUUGCUGUUCUUAAAUCAUAUAAUAACGUAAAUUUAUUUUUUAAUCAGAACGCAUUACAGUUACCGUGCGUAACGUCUAUGUCUAUUCACUUUCACAUGAUUCAAGUCAGUUCUGGUUCCUGCUAGAUUGCGUCACGUGGUCUAUUUAUAUAACCGACAUUAUUUUUAGAACGUCAACAAAAUAAAAUAUGUACCGGUAUCUGAUCUGUAUCUAUUUGUUUAUUUAUCUUUAUGCACAUUUCGAUUAAGAAAAACAUGUUUACAUCAAUUAUACAACCAUUACAUAAUUCGGAUGUGCAUGUAUAUCGGUUUUUCGUUGUUUAUAUUGACACGCUUUUGACCUAUAUAAAUAACUUAAAAAACAACAUUCCACAGACUAAGGUCAUCACGUUACACAUGUACUUCCUCGUUUAAUGUUGUUUAUCAUGGAUUACUAUGAAUGAAUCAUAAACACACGUACUAUAAUUGACUAGCUUUCAAGGCUAAACACACUUAUUGACUAUAACACUCAAGGAUAAGCUUCAAGGGUACUACAAGUCUUUAAUGACGCGGAAAAAAAAUACAAUAACUGACCGAGUUUACAGUUACAUGGUUAGAGCAUAUAUUUUGUCAUGUAUAUAUCUUUAGACAUUUUUUACUUUCCUAACUAGCGUUGCAUUUGAGGCUUGUAUAAGAAACACACGCCUUUUCGAAAUAAGUUUUAGCGUGAUUAAAAAACCUGCUAUACAUAUAUUAUAAAGUAUAGUCAAUAUAUAUAUGGAAUAGAAUAGAAUAGAAUAUUUUUAUUUACCAAAUUAGGGCCCCAGGAGGGCAUAUCAUACAGACAAUUACAUAUGCAAUACACAAACAAUAAAAGAUAUGUAACAAGUAUUAUGAAAAUAAUAAAAUAAAAUAAUAUACCACAGAAAAUACACUCAACAAAAUAGUAGCAAUGUAUUAUUAUUCAAUGAAUACUAUGUUGACAUUGACUCAAGUGCAUUUACUUAAACAUUUAAGGUGGACCAUCAGUGUAUAUUUCAUCGAACAGGAUUGUCUUAUACUUUGCCAAAAUGUAAACUUUACCAUGUUUUUUCAAAAAUAUUCUAUAAAGUAUUGGUCAAAAUGCCAUUUGUCAAGCUACAAAAGUCGUGCAAAAACAAAAUUGCCCAGAUUUGCAUAAAUUAUUCAUUAAGAAACACUUUUGUAUAUAAAAGUGAAAAUAAAUCUACGAAAAAAAAACAAAACAAAAGGCUUAGGGAACAACCAUUUAAAUUUCAAAGGGGGUGGGGUGGGGUGGGGUAGUUCUUGUUUUGUUCUGUUUUUAAACAACAACCAAAUAUUCAGAUUCCCAAAUUGAUGUUAAAAAAAUAUUCUGUUCAAUAUGUUCUAGCAGAGGACAAAAACAUAUUCUGAAUCCAUGUGUUCCCCAUAUCUUAUACUGUAAAAUUUUGAACAAAAUAAUUUGAUUGAUAACGUUGAAAAAUUUCUGACUCAGACAUAAAAACAUAACGCCUCCAAAAAGUUCCAACAAAAAAAAGGUGGUGGUACUCGUCGCGCAUUUUUAUCAAGCUAUAGGUCGUGACAAAAUGACACAUUUUGUAUGGAUUAUACUGGAAGAAGCACCAGUAUGGAUCAUUAUGUGAUUAGAAGCCAAACGUUAUGAUAGAAUUGUAAAAUAAAAUACGAGAAGAUAGCUUUUAGAAAAUAAUUUGAGAAUAUCAAAAGAAAAAACAGGGUCACCGUGCGGUUUUUUCCGGCUUCAGAAAAUGCACUAUUUCAGAGUUACCUCCCCUUAAAAUGCCAGUUUAAAAUAUUAAAAAUCAAGCAAAAAUAAUAAACAUUUAAAACAAGUUGCUUUCUUUAAAAAAAGAAAUGCAAUCGUAAACCCAAAAUGCUUGUUUGGCAUUAUAUAUAUAAGAUAAUUGUUAAUAAAGAUGUUUGUCUAUAUUACUUUUGUUGUGCAUAAGAAUUAGAAACUGACAUUGCCUGUUUAGUGGUUUAAAUAAUGUAUACCGGCUUCACACAAUCAACGUAUAGAUCCGACGUACGUCGGCCGAGGUAAAAAAAAUCAUGCACGCUACCAAAACGCUAGUAAUUUUGAUGCAUUCAACCUGUCAAUCAUAUCUGUAUCGUGUGCACAACGAGCUUAAAGCGUGUAUUGGGUGUGCGUAAAGCGUACCUUAGCGUUUCUCCUAGUCUUCCUACAUUCCCAACUGCAGGUCUGUCUAUAUGUGAAUGUUUGUCAAUAAGUCUGUCACAUUCGCCCGUCUGUUUACAUGUUUACCAGUCCGUCUAUGUCCACUGGUUCGUCUACAUGUUCACUAGCUUUGAAAUAGCUUUCGGUAAGUGCGAUUAUUUCAGUGAUUUGUGUCUAUUGUUUUAAUGUAAGUAAUUGUGCACCGUACCCAUAAUUUUAGGGACGCGAAUUGCAACUGAUAUUUUACAGUUUUUUUUUGCGAUGUGUUGUCCUUAAGGUUUGGUUCAUUUGGGAGGGUUGGGUUUAUGGCCACCACAUUGUUUAUGUGACAAUGUCCAUUCUAAAGCCAGAAACAUGUAGUACGUGGUGUUGUUCAUAAUUCAUGUCGGUCAAGUUUUUCGUAAAUUAUUUGUUAUCAAUAAAGGCUGUUUGUUUUGUUGAUUUUGUUUUUAAAUCUUAAUGGUCGGGGCAUUUAAUAGCGACUAAAUAGGUUUUUUUUUCAUUUUUGGAGCCGCUCGGUGCUUUAAAGACUUACUACCACGUCAUUGUAACUGGUUGGUAUUGUUCAUUAGUGCUGGACCAUGUCGAUUCUAUAUGCACCUUUGAGCAGGCGGAUUUGUUAGAUCUUGUACAGCUCAACUAAUGAGCAGUUCUGUAUUCUAUGUCUAGUCCAUGUUGCAUGGUGGAGAGGGUGUAAUAUUUCUGUAGGUUUGAUGAAGUUCACCGAUCGGACUUUUUUCCUAAAUAAAGCUUUAAGGCGACGAGUAUUUGUAUUGCAAAUGUGCCCUCAGGUCUAAAACUUAUCUGAGCGUUUUCAACGCUCGGGUAGCGUGUUAUGUUCGUGCAGUUACAGGUAUAUACGUUUGACAACGCUUGACCUGAAUGAUUUUUAUGUUCCAUUAAAAUUUUCCUGAAGUAAAAGCGUUCACCAAGCGUAUUAUACCUUUGAUUUUCGACGUACUUAAAACUAUGGAACGCGUGUUUAAACGCUUGCGUAGAUUCCUCUGGUGAGCAACUAAGUUACCCAUACGAUGUACGGACUUGUUAAUUUUUUUUUUGACUGAUUGUUUACAUUGUCAUUUCGGGGGAUUUAUAGCCACUAUGCGGUACGUGCUUGCCUGUUGUUUAGGCCGUACGGAGACCAAGUUUGUAUUUCUGUGUUAUUUUGGUUUCUGUAGAUAGUUGUCAUUGACACAACCCGAUAUCUUCUUUUUUUAUAUUCGAUAUCUUAUCGCCGACCUGGUUAAGUCUGCUAAAAAUGCAUGCAUGAUUCAUUUUUAGGUUAUCAGUCGUAAUUAAAGUGGCACAUUUAAUUCGUUGUUUCAUUGCUUGAAGUAUCAUUCUUACAUCUGCAUGGUCAAAUGUGUAUUUUUUUUAAAUAAAUUUUCGAUUUAGAUUUCAGUCACGGUUAUUUUUCCGCCUUCAUAUUGAAUAUCUAUACUUAUCAGUCGCAUUUAAAUGACGAAAGGGAUUCAGAGUUAUAAAAAAAAGUAAAUAAUGUUGCAAUAUUAAACAAAAAAAAUAACUUUAAAUUGCAAUAUUAAUGAAAUAAAUACGGAAACUUCAUAAUUAAUUUUAACGUUAUUUUCAAUAAACGAUUUUUUUAAUCCUCGUCUUUACACCUAUUUGAGGCACGUAUUAUGAUUAAUAUUCAUGUCCCUUGUCUAUCUGACGUAAAAUUUCAAAAAGUUGCUAAACUUUUUAAAGAUUAUUUUUAAUUGUUCUCCGUUAAAUAUUUUAUUUUUUCAUAUUCAAAUCUAUUUAAUUUAUUUUUAAUAACCAUUUUUUUUUUUUAUUAAAGUUGCAAUAUUUAACCAAAAAAAAUAUCUGUGAAUUUAAUAAUAUGCAAGAAAGAUUGAAGUUGGCUCCCUUUAAUCAUAUAAAAAAAGAAAUAGCUUGCUUUUACAACAUUGUACAUCUUCACUAAACGUAAAAUCUAAAAUAAAAUGCUACUAAAACUCAAUAAUUAAAGAUUUUAUUUUUAAUUAUUCUCGUUCAGAAUAUAAAGCGCAUUGUUUACAUGAAAUCUUAUCUCAUAUCUAAACACAGCUGGUUACAUCGUUUGACUAAUUAAAUACUACGCAUGUAGGUUAAUAUUAGCAGCUUGUAAUCGUGUGCAAGAAAAUAUUAUAUCAUAAUAAAUUUCAGAUAUACGUAAAAUAUCUCUAUAGCAACUUAAAUGCUAAUGCAUAUUCAACAGAUUAGUAAGCUAUUGGCAUGCAUUUGAAAGGUGGUCAUAGCUAUUGCGCAUGUAUUUGAAAGCUGGUCAUAGAAAGACCAGAAGUGUUCCGACUAACAUCCGGUGUUCCGAAAGACUACAUCACUCGUCCAAUAUAUACUGCGUAAACCCUCAGGGGUUUACGCAAAUAUUGAUAUUUAUAAGUUAUAAUCUUAUAAAUUUGUUCUUUUAUAAUGUAUAUUCACAUUAGUUAUAUCGAUUCCUGCAUCAAAUUCUGCUAACUGGAUUGAAAAUCUGGACCUUGGAUUUUCUAUUUUUUUACAAUCCAAGAUGGCGAAAGAUACCCAUACCACCUUAACAGACCUAGAAAAACGACGUUAUUCGACUUAACGUGCUUAUCUAUUAAUUUACGGUCAUAUGUCCUUAAUCUAAAGACUGGGUGAAUACUUUGACUUAUAAUUGUUAGCUUUUUACACAUUGUAACUUGGAUGGAGAGUUUUCUCAUUGGCACUCAUAUAUAUCACACCUAAAUAUAUUUCUUUAUAAUUAUAGGUAAAUGUCACAAUAAUAAGAAAUAAAACAAACAUGCAAAUUCAUUUUUUAAGGAAACGCGAAUCAAAUGUAUUCGUAAGGAAAAAAAUAAAAAUGCGCAUAGGUUUAUUUGGACAUUUAAGCGCCGGAAUAAUCCACUUACACUUACAUUUACUAAAAUACGAAUUUUAAAGAAAAUAUUUUUAAGAAGUUAGAAUUUUUUUUUUUAAAUAGAUAAAUUUUAUUUGAUUUUGCAACCGAGUAAUUCCGAGGAAGUACCGGACAUCUUUUAAUAGGAUUUCAUGAUCUAUUUGACCUUAACGGUUUACUUUUACAAAUUAUGACUUAGAUGGAGAGUUGUUUUAUUGGCACUCAUACCACAAAUUAUGACUUGGAUGGAGAGUUCUCAUUGGCACUCAUACCACAAAUUGUGACUUGGAUGGAGAGUUGUCUCAUUGGCACUCAUACCACAAAUUGUGACUUGGAUGGAGAGUUGUUUUAUUGGCACUCAUACCACAAAUUGUGACUUGGAUGAGAGUUGUCUCAUUGUUUUGACUUGGAUGGAGAGUUGUUUAUUGGCACUCAUACCACAAAUUGUGACUUGGAUGGAGAGUUCAUGGCACUCAUACCACAAAUUAUAUACUUGGAUGGAGAGUUGUCUCAGUGGCACUCAUACCACAAAUUAUGACUUGGAUGGAGAGUGUCUCAGUGGCACUCAUACCACAAAUUGUGACUUGGAUGGAAAGUUGUCUCAUUGGCACUCAUACCACAAAUUGUGACUUGGAUGGAGAGUUGUUUUAUUGGCACUCAUACCACAAAUUGUGACUUGGAUGGAGAGUUGUCUCAUUGGCACUCAUACCACAAAUUGUGCCUUGACUGGAGAGUUGUCUCAGUGGCACUCAUACCACAAAUUGUGACUUGGAUGGAGAGUUGUCUCAUUGGCACUCAUACCACAAAUUGUGCCUUGACUGGAGAGUUGUCUCAGUGGCACUCACACCACAAAUUGUGACUUGGAUGGAAAGUUGUCUCAGUGGCACUCAUACCACAAAUUGAGACUUGGAUGGAAAGUUGACUCAGUGGCACUCAUACCACAAAUUAUUAUGUUUCUAUUGUAUACCUGACUGAAACUUACACGAUAGAUAAAUCGUUGUUAUUUCUAAGCCGCAGUUCCAUCUACGCCAAAACGUACAAACAAUAGACCCGAAUCAUUUAAAUUCAUGCCUAUGGCCUAUAUUGAGUAAUUUCAUCAAGUUUUGACUGAAUAAAACAAAAUAUUAAGUAUAUCCCUUAAAACAGUCUUUGAUGUAGGAAAAACAAAUGGAUGCUUGCAAGGAUGUAUAGCUUUUAUUUUAAAGUGCGAACAAAAGUAUCGUAUUUGAUUCUCUCAUCCCGACUUCUUUCUGUUGUCUUUCAUACUAUCCUUUCUUCAUAGUCAUUUUCCUUUCAGCAAUGCUCUCAAUCCUAUUUCAGUGUUUCAAACAGAGGACAUAUUAUGGAACUUAUGAUAUUUAUUCUUCACGAAAUACAUGUUGAUAUGAUAUUCGAAUUUCAUGAUGAAUAUUUAUCUAAAAUUGUUUGUAAUAAUGUUUCCAAACGGACAUCCAUUAUAAAGAACAAAUACUUUGAAAUAAGCUCUACACAAUUUAAACACACAUUUCAUUUCAUACACAAGUCAUAUGUAAUAUGUCAAAUCCUAUGCAAUUUGUCGAAUUGUUCAUAAUGCGACCUAUGCAAUAUGUCAAAUUGCUUAUAUUGCUACCUAUACAAUAUGUCCGUUUGUUUAUAUUGCGACCUAUGCAAUAUGUCAGUUUGUUUAUACUGGGACCUAUGCACUAUGUCAUUUUGUUUAUAUUGCUACUUAUACAAUAUGUCCGUUUGUUUAUAUUGCGACCUAUGCAAUAUGUCAGUUUGUUUAUACUGGGACCUAUGCAAUAUGUCAGUUUGUUUAUAUUGCGUCCUAUACAAUAUGUUAGUUUGUUUAUACUGGGAUCUAUGCAAUAUGUCAGUUUGUUUAUAUUGCUACCUAUACAAUAUGUGCGUUUGUUUAUAUUGCGACCUAUGCAAUAUGUCAGUUUGUUUAUACUGGGAUAUAUGCAAUAUGUCAGUUUGUGAGUUUGUGUAUACUGGGACCUAUGCAAUAUGUCAGUUUGUGAGUUUGUGUAUACUGGGACCUAUGCAAUAUGUCAGUUUGUGUUUACUAGGAUCUAUGCAAUAUGUAAUUUAAUGUAUAUACUGGGACCUUUUCAAUAAGUCAGUUUAUUUAUGCUAGGACCAAUGGAAUAUGUAAGUUUGGGUAUACUAGCUGGGACCAAUGCAAUAUGUAAGGUUGUGAAUAUUUGGACCUAUGUUAUGUGUCAGUUAGUGUAUACAAGGACCUAUGCAAUGAUGUGUUUAUGUAUACUGGGACCUAUGAAUAUGUCAGUUUCCCUAUAAAUGGGAUCUACACAAUAUGUAAGUUUGUUUAUUCUGGGAUCUAUGCAAUGUGUCAGUUUGUUAAUACUGCAACCUAUGCAAUAUGUAAGUUUGUCUAUACUGGAUUCUAUGCAAUAUGUCAGUUUUUUUAUACUGCGACCUAUGCAAUAUGUAAGUGUUUAUACUGGGAUUUAUCCAAUAUGUCAGUUUGUUUAUACUAGAACCUAUCCAAUGUUUUAGUUUGUUUAUACUACGACCUAUACAAUGUGUCAUAUUGUUUAUACUGCGACCUAUGCCAUAUGUCAGUUUGUUUAUACUGAGACCAAUACAAUCUGUCAGUUUGUUUAUAAUAAGACCUAUGCAAUAUGUCAGUUUAUUUAUACUGAUACCUAUACAAUAUUUCAGUUUGUUUAUACUUGGACCUAUGCAGUAUGUCAGUUUGUUUAUACUGGGACCUAUAUAAUAUGUCAGUUUGUUUAUCUUAGGACCUAUACAAUAUGUCAGUUUGUUUAUACUGGGACCUAUACAAUAUGUCAGUUUGUUUAUACUGGGACCUAUACAAUAUGUCAUUGUGUUUGAUACAUGUCUGUUUAUAGACCUAACAAUAUGUCAGUUGUUUAUACUGGGACCUAUACAAUAUGUCAGUUUGUGUACACUGAGGGUUAUACUGGGACCUAUACAAUAUGUCAGUUUGUUUAUACUGGGACCUAUACAAUAUGUCAGUUUGUGUACACUGAGACCUAUACAAUAUGUUAGUUUGUUUAUACUGGGACCUAUACAAUAUGUCAGUUUGUGUACACUGAGACCUAUACAAUAUGUCAGUUUGUUUAUACUGGGACCUAACAUAUUUUGUGUACACUGAAGACCACAAUAUGUCAGUUUGACUGACCUAAUAUGUCAAAUUGUGUACACUGAGACCUAUACAAUAUGUCAGUUUGUUUAUACUGGGACCUAUACAAUAUGUCAGAUUGUGUACACUGAGACCUAUACAAUAUGUUAGUUUGUUUAUACUGUGACCUAUACAAUAUGUCAGUUUGUUUAUACUGGGACCUAUAUACAAUAUGUCGUUUGUGAACGAGACCUAUACAUAUUCAGUUUGUUGUAUACUGGGACCUUACAAUAUGUCAGUUUUGUUUAUACGGGACCUAUUACAAAUUGUUUGUGUGUUACACUGAGACCUAUACAAUAUGUUAGUUUGUUUAUACUGGGACCUAUACAGUAUGUCAGAAAGUGUACACUGAGACCUAUACAAUAUGUCAGUUUGUUUAUACUGGGACCUAUGCAAUAUGUCAGAUUGUGUACACUGAGACCUAUACAAUAUGUCAGUUUGUUUAUACUGGGACCUAUCCAAUAUGUCAGAUACACGAGACUAGUGUACACUGAACCUAUACAGUUUGUUUAUACUGGACCUUAUACAAUAUGUCAGAUUGUGUACACUGAGACCUUACUAACCAUAGUGCAUUACAAUAUGUCAGUUUGUUUAUACUGGGACCUAUACAAUAUGUCAGAUUGUGUACACUGAGACCUAUACAAUAUGUUAGUUUGUACUACGGCCUUUGUAUUAUAUUAAAAAAAUUUCUGGUACCAAGGUGAUAUGUUGAAUUGUUUAUUCUAUUACCUAUUUAAUAGUUAUUUUUUAGUUAGUUUUUAUACUGGUACCUUAUAGUAUGUAUUAUGUCAGUUUGUUAAAACUUGGAUUGAGGUAAUAUGUCAGUAUGUUAUCUUUAUUUAUUUUUUAAUUCUUUCUCAAGUCGGGUAAUUUAAAAUUUCGUAUUAAAUAUCGGUAAUGAGAAAGUGUACAGCUAUCUGUAUUUAUGUUUUGAAUUAAAAAUGUAUUUAGAUAUUGAAAAAAUAAUUGUGUAGUACAUUUAGGUUUCUUAUGACAUAUGUUAAUGUGUACGAUUGCAAUAUGUGUGUCACAAGGUUAACAACCGUAUACUCUCGCUGGUUCUAUGCUAUCCUGGUUCCCGGUACUACGUUACAGGUAUUAGCUGAUUGUUAUAUGUGUAACGUCCUGAAUAUUGCGAUUGGGAACCAGUCUAGUUCUAGGCUGAUUCACAACACAUGUGUUCAAUGACACAUUAAAUGUAAAUACAGGUUUAUUCAAGUUUAUCCAAAUACAGGUUGAUUCCAGUUUAUCAUGUACUUUUCCAUUAACAUUGGUGGUUUGGAUGAAUCAUCUAGUACUCUAAAAAAAGAAAAACCAUAUAUGACAACGAAUUACUCAAGUGUACAUUUUUUUACAUUAAUAUAUUUUGCGAUAAGUCAAGGGGCACAGGACAUUUUAUCGAAAUUGCGGGACAUUUGAGCGCAGACUUUAUAGCAAAUUUUAGCGCAGGAUUAGUCCGUAUUUUGGAUAGCCCAUGCAUUUUAGCGAAAGCCUGGUUGAAAAAAAUCAACAUUAUAAAACUAUGAACAGUAUUGCAUGCUGGCUUAAUGUUUGAUAGAUAUAAGACGUUUUAGUAUGACUUCAAAUGAGACAGCUCUCCAUCCAAGUCACAAUUAGUAAAAGUAAUCCAUUAUAGGUCAAAGUACGUCCUUCAACACAGAGUCUUGGCUCGGACCGAGCAGCAAGCUAUAACAGGCCACACACAUGACUAUUGUAAAACAUACUAAUAGGAAAACCAACGGUCAGACUCUAAUCUAUAGAUAUAAAAAAACGAGAAACACCUUGAACCACAUCAACAAAUGACAACCACUGAACAACAGGUUCCAGUUGCUUUAAAUUGCUUUAUUCGGCAUGGCAUUUUUAGAUGAUCAAGAUACAUGCAACUUAUCGGUUUAUAGAAAAGUAUAAGCCCUUUGCGUCAAAGUAUGCGCAAAUUAUCUGACCGAAUACUUUGUAACUUAAGAUUCUCUGCUUCCACCUAAACUAUUGGCAGAAGUUUCAUGUAAUCUAAAGCGAACUCAUAUUUAAAGUGAACAAAUGGUCCAGAGACGUUCCAUUUCUAUUAUUAUGAUACAUUUUAUAGUUGUCACCCAGCCAAUUACGUUUUUUUCCUCCAUAAUAUCAUAAACAAAUAUAUCAACAGCAUAUAUACAUGUAUGAAAAUAGGUUAAAAUGCAUUAGUGUUCGUGUCUUUCACCGAAUGUGCAAGCAAAGCUUUGCGGACGUGCAAGUUUUGUUUUAGUAUAAUUUAAAAUUCAUUUUCAUUAAUUCUUGUAGGUAGAUAAAGAGUUGGAAGAUACAAAAAGACCAAUUACACAUCACAGUUCAAAGGUUAGAAAGCAUACAAUACCACGGCAACAUGCUUUACGUGGGGUAUUGUACCAGGAUUUAUAUAAAAGAUUCACAGUAGGUCAACUUACGAAACAACUACAAAUUAAUGGAUGCCUAAAUAGAGGAGCGUUGGGUCCUUUGUCAGAAUAUAUCGUUUUCGUUUCCAAGAUGUCAUGUUACGCAUUCCUGCCAACAACAAAAAAAUGUCGGUCGAUACUAUGGGGUAUUCUGAACGAAAAAAACAAACAACAAAAAACGACAAAAAGACCAAAAAGUCCUCUCAAAUUACCUAGAAAACAAAGGAUAUAGCAACACGAACCGGCCUCAACAAUAACAAGGACUGUAACAGGGGCUCCAGAUUGAUAAUUAGAUUCUGCUUUACAUGUCACACCCGUCAUGUUGCUCAUGGUAAAUACAAUGUCACAAUCAUAUUUGCAUUUAAUUUUGUUUUUGAAUGAGUCCUGUUUGUAAAGAAAAGUAUUAAAACAUACCAAUACAAUCUCCCAUACAGACAGAGUUGUCGUCCUUUCCCUGUGGAGUAAAGGACGACAACUCUGUCUAUAUGGGAGAAAGCACAUAAAAAGACAGAAUACUCCUGAUUUAAAAACAAAAGGAACUUAGCAUCAUUAUACAUACAUGUAUCCCAAGAACAAAAAAACUUCAACACGAACUCUUUAUUCAUUCAAAAUAUAGUCUCAAACAAAAGAAAGGUGGCCAUACUAUCUAUAUGUAGUUCAAACUAUAAAUAUUCCUGGGUUCAGGCAAUUCAACGCUCAGGGGAGAAGGGUCAUUUGUCGGUUUUUAAAGAAUAACACUUUGUCCGAAUUUUCACUUAUAAUAUUUAUAAGCAUAUAUUAUUUUUGUUUGAUUUUUAAUGUUUUUAAAUAAGCAUUUUAAGGGGAGAUAACUUCACAAUCGUACAUUUCUGAAGAAAUCUACAUGAAAUUUUGCUAUUUUAUAUUUUAGUCUCGGAAAAUCCUAGCCGUUGACCCUAUAUUUUCUUUUGAUAUUCUGGUAUUUUAUUUCACAAUUUAGAUUCUGAAGUAAUCAUAUAAUGAUAAUUUUUCUGUAAAAUCCAUACGAAAUGUGUCAUUUUGUUACAACUUGUAGAUUGGAAAAUGCCCGGUGACCUAUCAUUUUUUAUUAUAUUUUUGAACAUAUCAAAUAAUAUACUACGUGUUAGCAAAGUAUGAACACUUUCUAUCAUUUUUGAUUAUAUAUAAUUUAUACUCUCCACCACCUUAAAUAUAUUAAAAAUACUAUCUUUAAGAUUCCAAGCCUCUACAGCAAGGUUGAUAAUAGCUGGGUGUUAUUAUUUAAGGUCCGUUUUGGUCAUAUCAUCAGCUUGGUCAACUUGGUCUAACAUACAGCUUUUAACGUGUUACAGUGCUUUAACAUCUUUGUUUUCCAAAUUUUGGACUUUCGGAUUUCUGAAGGUAAUUAGGGAGCUACAUUGUACCAUUUGAUUUUUAUAAAAAAGGGGAGGCUAAGAUUAAGAAGAAAAAAAAGCUGAACAUGAGAAUGAUGACAAUAUAUGUAAACAAAAAGUCAGGAUAAACUAAUAAAAAAAGGCUGAACAGAAUAGAUCAGAAUAGAGUGAAAAAUGAAAAGUCCAGACAGAAAUUACAACUAAAAAAAUAAUGCAGGACACAACUGUUUAAGCCCCCCCUCCCCCCAAAAAAAUAAUCAAAUAUAUGACCCUUACAAAAAACGCUUCGGAUGCAUUAAAAUAAUAUAUAAAGUUCGUUUUUACCUGAAAAAAUUGUAAGAUCUUAUUGAAUGAGUCUUAUUUCUCCUAUUUACAAUAUCAGCAUUUUUGUUUUACCUGGAGUGAACAGGUUCUUCGUAUAAUUGAUCGUGUCUUACAACAGAGACAGAAAUAUACAUACAUGAUACGAUAGUAAACAUAGUCAAGGACACCACUAUUAAUAGAUGUAUAGUAAGUUGAGUACGAACUAAUUUUGUUGAACUUUAAGCUUGUUAGCGGACGACAGUUUGAUUUUUUUUUGGAGGGAGGGGGUGAAAAUGAUUAACUAUGCCUAGCAAGAACUUUAAAAUACAGUUACUCAGCACAAGAAAGGAUAAAAAGAAAUAUUCUGCAACAAAAAAAUGCAUGAAGCAAAUGUUUACAAAAGUGAAAAUAACGAUUAUGCGUAUAACAAAGAUUUAAAAUCAGGAAAACUUCAUCAAAUGGUCGUCCACUUUAUAGUUUUAUAGACUUUUUGAGAUAUCGAUCAUUUAUAGUUUUAUAGACUUUUUGAGAUAUCGAUCAUUUUAAACUAUUUACUAGAACACACCCGCGAAAUCGCGGGCAUUCUGAGCGACGUUGAAAGUAAGUAUAGGAAGAUUUUUUUAAAAGAUUUAAUGACUGGAGAAUUUAAGGAAAAAUAUUAAAAGUCAUAGGUACUUGGGGACAGGAAAAUGUUUUUUUAAUCCUCCUCCUUUAUUUCCAAAAUUCCCAUUUUGUUUUUGUUUUCUAUCAAUUUCAAUAUGAAUAUACAUUUAGUAUGUUAUGAACAUUCAUGUCCGGAGCCUUUUAUUCAGUGGUUAUCGUUUUUUAUGUUUUACAUAUUUGCUUUUCGUUCAUUUUUUACGGUACAUAAAUAAGGCCGCUAGUUUUCUCCUUUGAAUUGUUUUACAUUGUCAUUUCGGGGCCUUUUAUAGUUGACUAUGCGGUAAGGGCUUUGCUCGUUGUUGAAGGCCGUACAGUGACCUAUAGUUGUUAAUUUCUGUGUCACUUUGGUCUCUUUUGGAGAGUUGUAUCAAUGGCAAUCAUACCACAUCUUCUUUUUUUUGUAAUCAAUGAUUUUUUUGUAAAAGAUUUAAAGACUGGAGAAUUUCAGUAAAGGUAUCAUAGAUACUUUGGGACAGAACAAUUUGUUUUCUAGCCCCGCUCCUCCUUUUUUCUCCAAAAUUCCUAUUUUUUCUAUUAUUUUUAAGAACAUUUUACACAUAAAUAAUUUUAGCGCUUAUCUGUAUAUGAACAUUCAUUACUAUCAAUAAAGUGUAUUUGCUUUUUACUUUCAAUUCUCAGUUUACUUAUCAAUCCACGGCGGUCUUUGUAGUAUGUGUAUGUUCAAAGUAUACAGAAAAACGCAAACCGGAAGUCUAAUCUGACUUACAAUUUCGUCCAAUGACGGAAACAAUAUCUGGAUGCCUUUUUUCUCGUUUUUCUCUCAAAAUAACUCAAUCUGAAUAAUCAUAUGAAUGGAUGACAAAUGCGACUAUGCACUGUAGGACACAGAGGCAUGAUGAUUAAUUAGUUUGGAAAGAAGAGAAGCGACACACAAAAUGAGGUCUUCUCGUUUAAUAGUAUAGAAGAUACUAUAGGUAAUUGACAUUAUUUCAUUACGGUUUUUUAGUUUUAUUUUUAAUUAAUGAAUUGAUCGCUUUAUAGCAAAGAAAAUUGAUGCUUUCAUGUUAUUUUCUGGUAUCUUGUCAUUUGGUGAUUUUCUGGUAUCUUGUGGGUAUUUGGUGAUUGACUGUUGUUUAUUUCACGUUAACAUGGUCUAGUUGCAAAUAUUGAAUUCAUAUAUAGGUGAGAACAAAUAUGUUAGGAUUUGCAAAGUGGAUUAAACACGCGAUAAUUGCAUUGAAUUAAAAGACUUGUCUUGGAAAAGAGGACGAUAUACAGAUUUUAAUAGAGAGCAUGAAAAUCCCCUUUGUCAGAUUACCCUCCCCACCCUUUUUUUUACGUUAACCUUUCACGAACUUGUGAUUAAAUGUCCUUCUUACCUACCGGACAGUUGCGUAUUUGUACACGAGCAUACUGACAACAGGACACCACCUUUUUUUUAUAAUUAAAGCUUCACACAGGAGAUGUGUAUAAGGUGCUCACACACAUGUUUUAUCCCUCCACAUUAUUUUUCUGUUCUAAUUCAAAGCUUGUUGUAUUAAUGCAAUUUGUCAAUUGUUGCUGUCUGCAAAUAUGUGGUUUUUUUUUAAUUAUUAUUAUUGGAUCCAAUUUUUAAAAGGGGAUUCCUUACCCAAUAAAGGGGGUUCCAACCAUAUGUCCCUAUUCAAAUACACUGAUCGUCCAAACAAAGGGGGGUUGCAAUUGGAUCCGCCACUGAUCAGGCUGUUGGUUCUCUAUAAUUAUUGUUUUACACUCUGUCAUCGACCUGUUGCCUUAUAAGUGGAUGGAAGGGGUUAAAAGAACAUGGGAAUGAAGGACUGAAAGAUGUAUCGAAGGGAAGGGAAGUGGGAGUUAGGGUGCCACCGGCAGAUACCGAAGUGAACGUUUAUGGAUACGGAUGCGGAAAUCAGAGAUCACUUAUCCAUUCUCUCUUUUAUAGUUUUUGUUUUUAUUGUUGUUAAAAGCUGUACGGUGACAUGUAGUUGCUUAAAUCUUUGACUGCUUGUUGUCUCGAUGUCGCAUUAGCUAUCCUAGGAUAAACUUCUUUACAAUUUUAAUAAAAUGGUCAUAUUUAGUCUGAAGAAUCGCUCAAUGAGUAUGACUUGUAUUCAGUCAUAGGUUUUCUAAGAUGCAUUAUGAUAUGUUGUUUCUUGUAUGAGGGUCUGAAUAUGGCUCUCAGAAUAAAGAAUAUAUUGGACCAAUAUUACAGAGAAUAAAGACCAAAAAUAAAGAUAAGAGAACAAUAGACAAAACAAUGAAUUGAGAAUUACGAUAGGCAAAACAAUGAAUUGAGAAUUACGAUAGGCAAAACAAUGAAUUGAGAAUUACGAUAGGCUAAACAAUGAAUUGAGAAUUAGGAUAGGCAAAACAAUAAAUUAAGAAUAACGAUAGGCAAAACAAUAAAUUAAGAAUUACGAUAGGCAAAACAAUAAAUUAAGAAUAACGAUAAAAUUGAGAAUUACGAUAGGCAAGACAAUGAAUUAAGAAUUACGAUAGGCAAAAACAAUAAAUCAAGAAUUACGAUAGGCAAAACAAUAAAUCAAGAAUUACGAUAGGCAAAACAAUAAAUUAAGAAUUACGAUAGGCAAGACAAUAAAUAUAAAGAAUAGAGAAUAAUGGGUCAAAAGUAAAGAUAGGAAAACAAUAAGCAAAAAUCAUAAAUAAUAGAGAAAAUGACCAUUAUAAAUUUGAAGAAUACAGUAAUAAAGACCCCUUGUAAACCCUUCUAGACCUUCUUGUAUCCUUGUAGCAUGUGUCUUAUGUGUCUCCUAAAAGUUUUAAUGAUGCACAUUAUUAGGGUGUACUAUUCCGUAGCCGUUUCCAUAUAAAAAUAAGAAUUUGUGGUAUGAUUGCCAUGCAUACAGAGUUUCACAUAUUUAUACAUCUCGAGUAGACAAACAAAAGAGAAACCAGAAAAUGGCCAUUGACACCAGGUAAAACAAACAGAAAAAACUACUGAAAGAGUUAAUGUUCUAAAAAAAAAGUGUCAGUUACCCUUUUUCAAAGUUCACACACGCUAAUCUCUUUACACAAUAUUUGGAAAAAGUCUGGGUAUAUAUACAAAUUUUUUGAUUCGAGAGUCACUGUUGAUAUAGAUCAAAAGAUCAGUUGUAAAACCUAGUAUCAUAGUAAAAGUUUCAGACACGAAUAAAGGGCAUCAUGAUGCGAAUAUGUCGACAAAAAAACAAAGUAAUGGCACUUACACAAUCAAGAAAUAUUUGAGCAAACUGUUAAGGUUUUUUUCUAGAGAGAAAUUCGUGAAAUAUUCUUCCGGACUAGGAAGCUGAACAAAGAUAAUCACACAUUUCAUUAAUUAUUCUACAUUCAAACUUUAUCGUAUUUUAUUGGUACAUUUUUUAAUUUAUUUAUUUGCAAUAAUAUACAUUUUCAAAAAUUCCUCUUUAUAUACAGUUUUAUUCAUUUUCUUUUAGAACACAACACAAGUUAUGGAAUGAGAAUUGUUUAUUAAGAUAAAAAGGAAAAGCAGACAGAUGAUUCAUUGUAAAGAAAGAAAAAGAGAAGAAGCUAUCGCCAAGAAGACAUUGGGAUCAAAGAAUUCGAAGCAACUUUAAAAAAACCAACAACGAUAAAGUGUGUAAUUGAAAUAUUGUUGAAAAAUAGAAUGAUUGACUCAUUGUUAAUUGUUUAACGUCAAUUGACGAUUAUUUUUAAUGCAUAUUCAGGACGAGAAACUUUGGAUUUUUUUUGGGAAAAAAAAAUGAUUCCAGUUUUUGGAGAAAAAAAUAAUUUGUUUUUUGACCCCAAGAAAAAAAGUUUGUUUCACCCCCAGCUGCCACUAUAUGUAAUGCUUAAAUUGAAAGAUAAAAAUUGUUUUCAACUUGUCGCCAAAAAAUUAGAUUGUUUUUCUCGGGAAAAAAAU